GAUGAACGCUGGCGGCGUGCCUAAUACAUGCAAGUCGAGCGAACAGAUGAGGAGCUUGCUCCUCUGACGUUAGCGGCGGACGGGUGAGUAACACGUGGAUAACCUACCUAUAAGACUGGGAUAACUUCGGGAAACCGGAGCUAAUACCGGAUAAUAUAUUGAACCGCAUGGUUCAAUAGUGAAAGACGGUUUUGCUGUCACUUAUAGAUGGAUCCGCGCCGCAUUAGCUAGUUGGUAAGGUAACGGCUUACCAAGGCAACGAUGCGUAGCCGACCUGAGAGGGGGAUCGGCCACACUGGAACUGAGACACGGUCCAGACUCCUACGGGAGGCAGCAGUAGGGAAUCUUCCGCAAUGGGCGAAAGCCUGACGGAGCAACGCAGCGUGAGUGAUGAAGGUCUUCGGAUCGUAAAACUCUGUUAUUAGGGAAGAACAAAUGUGUAAGUAACGAUGCACGUCUUGACGGUACCUAAUCAGAAAGCCACGGCUAACUACGU
rnacentral:rRNA from 1 species